rnacentral:rRNA from 1 species
UGCAGUCGAACGCUGAAGCCCCAGCUUGCUGGGGUGGAUGAGUGGCGAACGGGUGAGUAACACGUGAGUAACCUGCCCCUGACUUCGGGAUAAGCCCGGGAAACUGGGUCUAAUACCGGAUACGACCGGCCUACGCAUGUGGGUGGGUGGAAAGUUUUUUCGGUUGGGGAUGGGCUCGCGGCCUAUCAGUUUGUUGGUGAGGUAAUGGCUCACCAAGACGACGACGGGUAGCCGGCCUGAGAGGGCGACCGGCCACACUGGGACUGAGACACGGCCCAGACUCCUACGGGAGGCAGCAGUGGGGAAUAUUGCACAAUGGGGGAAACCCUGAUGCAGCGACGCAGCGUGCGGGAUGACGGCCUUCGGGUUGUAAACCGCUUUCAGCAGGGAAGAAGCGAAAGUGACGGUACCUGCAGAAGAAGUACCGGCUAACUACGUGCCAGCAGCCGCGGUAAUACGUAGGGUACGAGCGUUGUCCGGAAUUAUUGGGCGUAAAGAGCUCGUAGGUGGUUGGUCACGUCUGCUGUGGAAACGCAACGCUUAACGUUGCGCGUGCAGUGGGUACGGGCUGACUAGAGUGCAGUAGGGGAGUCUGGAAUUCCUGGUGUAGCGGUGAAAUGCGCAGAUAUCAGGAGGAACACCGGUGGCGAAGGCGGGACUCUGGGCUGUAACUGACACUGAGGAGCGAAAGCAUGGGGAGCG